rnacentral:rRNA from 1 species
UACGAAGGGGGCUAGCGUUGCUCGGAAUCACUGGGCGUAAAGGGUGCGUAGGCGGGUUUUUAAGUCAGAGGUGAAAUCCUGGAGCUCAACUCCAGAACUGCCUUUGAUACUGAAAGUCUUGAGUAUGGGAGAGGUGAGUGGAACUGCGAGUGUAGAGGUGAAAUUCGUAGAUAUUCGGAGGAACACCAGUGGCGAAGGCGGCUCACUGGUCCAUUACUGACGCUGAGGUGCGAAAGCGUGGGGAGCAAACAGG